rnacentral:rRNA from 1 species
AACGAACGCUGGCGGCAUGCCUAACACAUGCAAGUCGAACGAGACCUUCGGGUCUAGUGGCGCACGGGUGCGUAACGCGUGGGAACCUGCCCUUAGGUUCGGAAUAACUCCCCGAAAGGGGUGCUAAUACCGGAUAAUGUCUUCGGACCAAAGAUUUAUCGCCUUUGGAUGGGCCCGCGUUGGAUUAGCUAGUUGGUAGGGUAAAAGCCUACCAAGGCGACGAUCCAUAGCUGGUCUGAGAGGAUGAUCAGCCACACUGGGACUGAGACGCGGCCCAGACUCCUACGGGAGGCAGCAGUGGGGAAUAUUGGACAAUGGGCGAAAGCCUGAUCCAGCAAUGCCGCGUGAGUGAUGAAGGCCUUAGGGUUGUAAAGCGCUUUUACCCGGGAUGAUAAUGACAGUACCGGGAGAAUAAGCUCCGGCUAACUCCGUG